AUACUGCAAUACAUUAGAAAAUAUAUCACAAUAUAUCACAAACACGCUCAUAUAUUUGAAAAUAUAUAGCAAUAUAUUAUUGAACAACAUAUUACUAUAUAUUGAUCCAUAUAUUUUAAAAUAUAUGGCUGGCAAAACAAAACUGUAUUCCACUAUUCAGUCUGUAUUUCUUGAUGUUUUUAGUUCAGCAAGCACAUUUUGCACGACAUUGGACAUUUACUCGACAUUAUAAAGUCAUUUUAGGUGGAUCAUAUAUGGCCAUAUAUAAUAAUAUAUUGAUCAAUAUACAGGAGUCUCUGAUUGAAUCAUCUCAGCUCUCAUAUCACGUAUGACGCGCCUACGUCACGUCGUCACAACCUGAAGCUAAAGUGGCGAGAGAGCCGUCUCGGCUCGAGCGCGGUCCGGAUUUUAGCUCCACACUGUCGCCAGCCAGACUCCCCACCACAGUGACACAAACCAACCAGCCGCCUCGAGAGGUUGCUGAAGAGGUAUGCAGCGAUGGUCUGGAGGAAAAAAUAGUCACAUGGACUGGUGUGCAUUCCAGUACUUGAAAUGAUGCUGUUGCUCAGGCACAUCCAGGUGCGAGGAUGGGGGAGAUCCGGAUGUCGCUAAAUAAAAGAAUCUGUGAACUGCUUCACCAAGAGAAAAAGAAGUCCAUGGACAGGCCUAUGAGCCCUCUUGUUGACUUUGAGUGACUGAGGCUGCGGGCGGUCUGCCCCUGAAUUCACCUUCACUUUCUUUUCUUUUAAAAAAAAAUAUAUCUGAAGGUGUGUGUGUGUGUGUGUGAGCGCGCGCGGGUGUGUGUGUGUGGGCGCGGUCACGCGUGUGUGUUUGUGUGUGUGCAUGUGUGCCAGUGCUUUAUGUGAGGUGUUUCGCUUACCGGCCACAGCCACAGUUUUUGUUUUGUUUUCUUUUUGUUUUAUUUGGGGUUUUUUUUUUUUUUUUUUUUUUUUUUGGUUUUUUUUUUUUUUUUUAGAAUAUUUCUGCUUUUUCAUUAAGUACAAGUUACUGGCCAAAGUGGGAGACUGAAAUUGUUACUGGCCACAGGCAAGUUUCCCCAGCAUUUGGCCUGUUGGCCGGUGUCGUUGUCAAGUCGUUUCCCUGCCUGUCUGCCCCUCUGUCUCUGCAUGUGUGAGCGGUGGUGUUAAAGGGUCGGUUGGUUUCAUGUUUUUAAUAAACCAAUGUCAACAGUUGAAUGAAUUGAA